GUUAUUCACGUAGGGUACAGAGGUAAGAUGUUCUAUCUUUCAGACCUUUUACUUCACGUAAUCGGAUUUGGCUGAAUAUUUUAGCCGCCCCAGUCAGUUUAUGACUGGGGCGUUUUUU
rnacentral:other from 2 species